CCAUGGGAUUGAUGAGAUCAUCAACUGAGUGGGUGUAGAGAUAUACAAAUGAAAAGGUCAAACACUGAGAAAGAUAGCCUGCAAAGGUGAGAAGUGACCAUUGAGGUAGAGGAAACCAAGUAGGGGUGGUGUCCUAGGAGCCAAAGGGAGAAUGUAUUUCAAGGAGAGAGCAAUCUAUGGUGACAAGUGCUGUUGCAGGGUUAAGAAAAUCACCGAAGACCCAUCGUUGGAUUGGAAACGUGGAGGUCAUUGGCUUUGACCAGGACGGUUUUAGUGGAGUCGCUGGGAUAGAAGCCUGCUUGGAAUGUGAUCAAGAGAUGACCAGAGCUGGAAAGUCUGCUUAACUCUUUGAAGACGGUGUGCUGUAAAGGGGAGCCGAGACAUGGGGCUGGAGCAGGAGAGGGAUGUAGGGACGACCAAGAUAUGUCCGUUAUUUGUUUCUUUGUUCCAUAUGAGAGAAAUUAUGGUGUUUGCUUACUGAUGGAAACGAUCUGGCAUAGAAGGCAUCGAUGAGAAGCUACUGCAGAGCAAAUCUUUGAGCAGGUGGAAGGAAAUUGAAUGGAGUGCAGAAUAGAACGUAGACAGUUGCAGAAUUGGAGUGGAAGAACAUGCCCUAUUGCCAUUGCCAUCACCCUUCUUCCACAAAAGGCUAAAGAUUUGUGAAGACUGUAGAUUGACUGAAAAGGACUUCGACUCUCCAUUGAAUGCUUGCGCUCAGACGAUCUACCCGAGGGCUUGUGUCCUGCUUUCUUCAAUGCGGUGAAUGCGAGUUUACAGAUGAAGAAACUGAGAUACAAAGAGCUUAUGGGUAUUAUUCAAGGACACAAAGCUGGCGUGUGGUUCUCUGUUAUUAAUGAGAUCGAUUGUAAAAUUACAUCAAGGAGUGUUUGUUAUAUGAAUGGGCCCUGGAAUUUCCAAUGUACUCUGGGACCAAGAUUGUCUGGAUUAUAACAAAUUUUGGUCACAAGUGUGUUGAAAACACGUGAGAGAAAACCAAAGGGAUA